CUCUCUCUCUCUCUCUCUCUUGGCACUCUUCUCCUCUCUCACUCUCCCUCGCGCUGGUUCAUGCCCUCUUCUCUCUCACGCUUCAUGCUUUUGGCCCUCUUCUUCACGCUCGCUCUCUCUCUCUCUCUCGCUGGUGCUCAAUUGGACUGGUUCAUGUCAUCAGCCCUGCAAUUGCGAGGAGAACGACGAGCUCCUUCCUCGUGCUUCCCAAUCCUAGGGCUGGAACCCUCCCUUCAUCACCCUCGCAGGGUUUCUCAAUCGAUCUGCAAGAUGGGAUUGGUGGUGUCCUUGGACAAUCGCUGAGAAAAAAAGCUUCGUGAAUGAUUACAUCUCUGGUUUAUCAACUCUUAUUUGAAAAGAAAUUACACAAGUGAUAUCUAACAUUACUUCAUCAACAAGACUAGUGAAUAGUUGUGAUGAGUUUCACGAGGCUCAUAUAAAGUUCCUUAAGGCUAGCUAUUUCAAGUGCUAUUCACGAUAAUUCUAUUAGAAAAAUCUUGCGAGUAAAAAAAUUCUGAAUAUUGACAAUGAAGAAGACAAAGAAGUUUGUGAAACCAUGGACUAUUGCUUCAUAUUUGCGGACACAACGUAAGUUCUGUAGAAGUCAAGCUUAUGUAAAUGUAGUACACACACAAGAUCAUGCAUUAGAGGAAGCCACACAAACAAAUCAUAAUCAACAACACGAAGUACAAAUGGAGCAAGAAAUGAGGAUUGGGGUUGAGCAACAAGAUCUAGAUCAUAUAGAUUCUUAAAAUCAACAAGAAAUAAAUCAAAACUCAACCAUGCAAAUUGGGGUACCUCCACCAACGGUUGCAACAAUGGCAAUUGAGGACGCAAUUAGAAGCUCAGCAGGCCCUUCUACACUGAAAAAGAGAGGUCAAACAGCAAUGAAAGCAGUUCAUGCACGGUCUGAGGAAAACUUAAAACCAAUAUUAUUGAAUGAAUUAAAUCAGCCAAUAGGACCAAAUGAUAAGACUUUGAGUGAGUUUAGCAGUUUCCUAGGAACAUUGGCGCGAAAUUCAACACUUGCACCCCUUACUGUCACUAAUUGGAGCAAAAUGGCUACAAAAGAGUCAUUAUGGGAAUAUGUUCAGGUUUAUAAGAAUCUUACUUGUUUGUUACCUAAUAAUUUCUUUUCAUAUUAAACA